AGAGAUUGAACAUAAGAGUUUGAUCCUGGCUCAGAUUGAACGCUGGCGGCAUGCUUUACACAUGCAAGUCGGACGGCAGCACAGGGAAGCUUGCUUCUCGGGUGGCGAGUGGCGAACGGGUGAGUAACAUAUCGGAACGUACCGGGUAGCGGGGGAUAACUGAUCGAAAGAUCAGCUAAUACCGCAUACGUCUUGAGAGGGAAAGCAGGGGACCUUCGGGCCUUGCGCUAUCCGAGCGGCCGAUAUCUGAUUAGCUGGUUGGCGGGGUAAAGGCCCACCAAGGCGACGAUCAGUAGCGGGUCUGAGAGGAUGAUCCGCCACACUGGGACUGAGACACGGCCCAGACUCCUACGGGAGGCAGCAGUGGGGAAUUUUGGACAAUGGGCGCAAGCCUGAUCCAGCCAUGCCGCGUGUCUGAAGAAGGCCUUCGGGUUGUAAAGGACUUUUGUCAGGGAAGAAAAGGCCGUUGCCAAUAUCGGCGGCCGAUGACGGUACCUGAAGAAUAAGCACCGGCUAACUACGUGCCAGCAGCCGCGGUAAUACGUAGGGUGCGAGCGUUAAUCGGAAUUACUGGGCGUAAAGCGGGCGCAGACGGUUACUUAAGCAGGAUGUGAAAUCCCCGGGCUCAACCCGGGAACUGCGUUCUGAACUGGGUGACUCGAGUGUGUCAGAGGGAGGUGGAAUUCCACGUGUAGCAGUGAAAUGCGUAGAGAUGUGGAGGAAUACCGAUGGCGAAGGCAGCCUCCUGGGAUAACACUGACGUUCAUGUCCGAAAGCGUGGGUAGCAAACAGGAUUAGAUACCCUGGUAGUCCACGCCCUAAACGAUGUCAAUUAGCUGUUGGGCAACUUGAUUGCUUGGUAGCGUAGCUAACGCGUGAAAUUGACCGCCUGGGGAGUACGGUCGCAAGAUUAAAACUCAAAGGAAUUGACGGGGACCCGCACAAGCGGUGGAUGAUGUGGAUUAAUUCGAUGCAACGCGAAGAACCUUACCUGGUUUUGACAUGUGCGGAAUCCUCCGGAGACGGAGGAGUGCCUUCGGGAGCCGUAACACAGGUGCUGCAUGGCUGUCGUCAGCUCGUGUCGUGAGAUGUUGGGUUAAGUCCCGCAACGAGCGCAACCCUUGUCAUUAGUUGCCAUCAUUCGGUUGGGCACUCUAAUGAGACUGCCGGUGACAAGCCGGAGGAAGGUGGGGAUGACGUCAAGUCCUCAUGGCCCUUAUGACCAGGGCUUCACACGUCAUACAAUGGUCGGUACAGAGGGUAGCCAAGCCGCGAGGCGGAGCCAAUCUCACAAAACCGAUCGUAGUCCGGAUUGCACUCUGCAACUCGAGUGCAUGAAGUCGGAAUCGCUAGUAAUCGCAGGUCAGCAUACUGCGGUGAAUACGUUCCCGGGUCUUGUACACACCGCCCGUCACACCAUGGGAGUGGGGGAUACCAGAAGUAGGUAGGGUAACCGCAAGGAGCCCGCUUACCACGGUAUGCUUCAUGACUGGGGUGAAGUCGUAACAAGGUAGCCGUAGGGGAACCUGCGGCUGGAUCACCUCCUUUCU
rnacentral:rRNA from 1 species